UGCCAGCCUCAUCGGUAAUACUGAAUGUGCGAUCUUUAAUCGGAAUUACUGGGCGUAAAGCGCAUGCAGGCGUUUGAUUAAGCGAGAUGUGAAAGCCCCGGGCUUAACCUGGGAACUGCAUUUCGAACUGGUCAACUAGAGUCUUGUAGAGGGGGGUAGAAUUUCAGGUGUAGCGGUGAAAUGCGUAGAGAUCUGAAGGAAUACCAGUGGCGAAGGCGGCCCCCUGGACAAAGACUGACGCUCAGAUGCGAAAGCGUGGGGAGCAAACAGGAUUAGAUA
rnacentral:rRNA from 1 species